rfam:Canis lupus familiaris chromosome X, whole genome shotgun sequence.
GUCUACGGCUAUACCACCCUGAAUGUUCCUGAACAUAUCUGAUGUCAGAAGCUAAGCAGGGUUGGGCCUGGUUAGUACUUGGAUGGGAGAAAAAGAGAACAAAACAAAACACCCUGCCCCUCUGCCA